rnacentral:rRNA from 1 species
AUUGAACGCUGGCGGCAGGCCUAACACAUGCAAGUCGAGCGGAUGAAGAGAGCUUGCUCCCUGAUUUAGCGGCGGACGGGUGAGUAAUGCCUAGGAAUCUGCCUGGUAGUGGGGGAUAACGUUCCGAAAGGAACGCUAAUACCGCAUACGUCCUACGGGAGAAAGCAGGGGACCUUCGGGCCUUGCGCUAUCAGAUGAGCCUAGGUCGGACUAGCUAGUUGGUGAGGUAAUGGCUCACCAAGGCUACGAUCCGUAACUGGUCUGAGAGGAUGAUCAGUCACACUGGAACUGAGACACGGUCCAGACUCCUACGGGAGGAAGCAGUGGGGAAUAUUGGACAAUGGGCGAAAGCCUGAUCCAGCCAUGCCGCGUGUGUGAAGAAGGUCUUCGGAUUGUAAAGCACUUUAAGUUGGGAGGAAGGGCAGUAAGUUAAUACCUUGCUGUUUUGACGUUACCGACAGAGUAAGCACCGGCUAACUUCGUGCCAGCCGCCGCGGUAAUAC